GACAGAGGGUGCAAACGUUGUUCGGAAUUACUGGGCGUAAAGCGUGCGCAGACGGUUGCGUAAGUCAGAUGUGAAAGCCCCGGGCUCAACCUGGGAAUUGCAUUUGAGACUGCGUAGCUAGGGUGCGGAAGAGGGAAGCGGAAUUUCCGGUGUAGCGGUGAAAUGCGUAGAGAUCUGGAAGAACACCAAAGGCGAAGGCAGCAUCCUGGGAAGUUCCUGACGCUCGGGUGCGAAAGCCAGGGGAGCGAACGGG
rnacentral:rRNA from 1 species